AAAGACUUGCAUUUUGACCCAAAAAAAGAUUUGUAUAUGGGCAUCUUCGAAAAGGGAUCCGCCUCGAAUCAAAACGUUCUUUCUUUUCUAAAAACGAUCUUAGUGCGUAGGUACUCUUCAAUGCAGCGUGGACGAGACGACGUCACAUACUACGAUCACGUACAAAAGUCUUGCCCUUCAGCUCGGCUCUAUAUUGUUGUGUUCAGUGGGUUUCUUUUAUCGUCAACAAGAUCACGAUACGUAAACAAGACACCAAACAACAUCGUCCCUGAGGAAGCCGCCAAGGGACCAGACCUCUCGGACGACGAGUAUGCAAUGGACCUCAGGCCCGGCCCCAACAUAUUAUUUAUUAUUUGUCCCAUCGUCCAUUAUAUCAUUUUCUAUUUGUUUUAUUUACCGUCCAUACAUUUUUCGGACGUUUAGUGUUUGAUUUUCCGAUUUUUCUUGAUUUUUUGGUCAUUCUUGUCGCUGCCCGUUAGCAAUUACUUUCAUCACUUCCAUAAUUCAUAACCAACUUACUUUCACCUUUUUAUAA